GACGAACCACACGAACGUUAUUCGGAAUUACUGGGCUUAAAGGGUGCGUAGGCUGUGCGGAAAGUUAGGUGUGAAAUCCCCCGGCUCAACCGGGGAAUUGCGCUUAAAACUACCGUGCUAGAGGAAUACAGAGGUGAGCGGAACUUCGGGUGGAGCGGUGAAAUGCGUUGAUAUCCGAAGGAACACCGGUGGCGAAAGCGGCUCACUGGGUAUUUUCUGACGCUGAUGCACGAAAGCUAGGGGAGCGAACCGG
rnacentral:rRNA from 1 species